AUGGGAGGACCAGAAUACUACUCUUUAUUCUAUGCGUGCUUGUUUCUGUGUUGGAAUUUUGUGGUCAUGUUAUAUUCUCAUGAUAUAACCUUCAACUAGGAUGUGAAUAUGUUCUUCCGUUAGUGUAGAACCUCCUAGCUACCCACACACACACACUCUCAAGAUGUGCUGCUUAUGAAAAGCUCCAGUACAUAUGCUUUAACUAGGAAUGGAACAUCAUGUUGAAAUGCCUUCAUCCUUCCUUGAUUAUAAAACUUCUUUAUGCAGAUAAAUUUGUGUUGGCU
rnacentral:lncRNA from 1 species